UCUGGCCCGAGGCUGCCCUGGCGCAGCCGCGGAAAUGAGGAGAGCGGAGGCGCCAUCCCGCCAGCCGUGGCGGGCCCUGGGCCGUGACCAGAGCCGACUGGGGAUUAUUCAAAGCCCAAAGCAAACAGAGCCCUCAUGGAGAUGUGGAGGGUGUUCAGACACUGCUGUGGGGCCCUGAGAAGUGAAAUGAGCCCAAGCCCUUGCCCAGUACGGAUGCGCCCAAGCACGUCCUCUGGGGCCCUUUAACAAGUAAACUGUUCACCUCUCAGAGAUCUGUCCCACCUGGGCCAAGAGAUUUCUAGAGCCUCUUGUGAUGGUCAGCAAUGUCGCUGAUGACCAGGAGGUAGGGAUUUCUGCAAAGAUAAAGCCAUAGAGCCUGGCUGCCUUGUUAGGAGGAACAGUAGGAAAAGAAGGACAAGAAGAUAGUCUGUCACGUUCCAGAAGGGAUUUAUUCAUGGGGCUCCCUUUUUACCAGAAAAUGAGUGUUAUUAACUAAAAAUCUAUUCGCUUCCUCUUU